ensembl:lncRNA
ACUUUUGAUAUACUUUGCUUGGAAGUUUUAACUAAUUUAAUAUCACUCUUAACAUAAUAAAUGAUCAAACGUUUCCUAAACAAAAUUAUCUGCAUACAACAACCAUAUUAUAUUCUAUUAAACGUCUUGAGCAACGCUUGGCGUUAUUCCACAAUUUCCACGUAUGUUUUGCUCAAGCGGACUGAGUCAGACUGAAACGAUUCGAACGCAAUCAGUAAGCCGAUAUAACAUUGGAGUAUUUUUUGAACCGGUUCCUGUUCGAAAGAACCGAUUCUCUGAAAAGAAUCACAAUUCCCAUUUCUAACAUGCUGGGGUUGUCCAGCAACCAAUGGUAAGACACGGAUCUCGGUGACUAGAGUAAAUAAACCAAUCACAGGGCGCAACCGACCGGAAGUAGCAUGACGUUCCUAGAUUCCCAAAACAUGUUGACACCCGGUUCAGCUACAUGACAGAGACGCGCUCAAUCUGCGUUGUCUAGCAAUCUAAAUAACAAGAGUUACAGAUCUUCAAGUAAACAUGGAUUACAGGCCUGAACAGGGAUGGCAGCACCAUCAGCAGUGCCAUGCAUACAGGCCUACUCGGCAUCGCCCCAUCCGGCCUGAAAUAGGGCAGGUCUUCUUCAUGCAGCUGCACACGGGCUUAAACCAAUUGUAUGUCAGCUCAGAUAUGUUUAAGCAUCUAAAUAACAUUUCAAUGCAGUAGAAUGACCUGUAGUUUAUUGUGAAUUAUGAAUUGCUUAAACAAACCAUCAUACAAUUUUCAAUGUAAACUCUUGUUUUUUUGGCUUUCGAAGUGGCUGUCACUUUUCUCUUUAAAUAUAAAACAAAAUAUAUAAUAUUUUGUGACCAUCUUAGGAAUUAAAAUGAAUUAGGAGAGACUUAUAAUGCAAUGUGUUAUGCACGCUUUUGGAAUGCUUGAUUCUGAUUGGUUAAUUUUUAAAUAAUUCCAGGGCCAUAUUGUAUAAUUGACCUUUAAUUCCGUAAAAGGAAUGUUUUCUACGUAGCUAUGUUGGUGUUAGGGCUCUCUGAGGUCUCUAAAAAUAAUAUAAAAUCAUUUUAAAUCACUAUUUUAAGUGCUUUUAUUUAUUUGGUAUAAGUAGCCGAGUAAUAAUGCAGAAUAGUAAUAAUAAAAAAAAGUCUCUGUUGGGGUUAAU